rnacentral:lncRNA from 1 species
AUUUUGGAUACAUAUGGCUAAAUUGCUCCUUAGACACUACUAAUUGACACCCCACAGCAAUGUUUUCUACCGGUAGAGUCUUUCCAACCCUUUGGAUCUUUACCAAUCCAGUUGUUGCAAAAUUCUCUCUCAAGUACAGUUACAAUUUACGUUUUACAUUUAUUUAAUAUUUUGAAAUCUUUGUUCAUGGAACUGUGAUGGCCCUGCCUCUGUGUACUUCAUUCACAAACGUCCGUUUCAACAUAUUUCACUCUUACAGCUUCGAGAAUUUGUCGGGUCUACUGGUGUGGGCUUUUGCAUGUGCUGUUCUCUCCUUGGAAAGCUCUUUCCUUAGUAAACUACCAUAGUCUGAAUGUGCCCCCACUUCCCUCAGUUCAUUUCUUUAAAUCCUAAUGCUCAAGGCGUCAGGAGAUGGGGCCCUGGGAGAUGAAUAGGAUUAGUGCCUUAUAAAAGAGGCCCCAGAGAGAACCCUCGCUCCUUCCGCGUGUGAGGCUACGGUGAGAAGCCAGCGCUCUGAGGAAGCCAGCCCUUGCCAGACGUGGAAUCUGCAGACGUCUUGAUCUUGAACUUCCCAGCCUCCAGAACUUUCCAAGAUCUCUUUUGGCUUCCUGACGGAUGGUCAGCAGAGGCCACCUGCACCAUAGUGUCAGUCGAGUUGUGGUAAGUGCAGCUAUAACAAGGGUAAGUAAUGUUCUGUGUGAUUGGUUAACAUUCAGAGUAGACACAGGCUGGUGUGGAUGACUGUCCUGCUUAAUGCCGUGAGUAGCUGUUUAUUUGCUGUCCUCCCGUCCAUGGAGGCCCUUAACAUUUUACUAUUAAAUAUGAAGGUGCGCUUUAUCAGAUUCAGAAAAUUUUCCUCUCUUUAUAGUUUGAGUUUUAAAAAAUCAUUAAUGGAUGUUUAAUUUUAUUUUGUGCAUUUUAUUUAUCUAUUGAGACUAUCAUAUGGGUUUUCUCCAUUAAUUUGUAAAUGUGGUAAAUUAAAUUCUAAUGUUGAAUAAUUUCUGAUUCCCAACAGAAAGCACUUUUUUAAUAUGUGUCUGGAUUUGAUUUGCUGCCAUUGUGUUUAGGCUGUUUGUUUCCGUGUUCAUGAGAGAGAUUAGCUUCUAAUUUUCUUCCUUAUACUGUAC